AUUUUCCUGUUGCUCCUCUGGCCACCCUCCCAAUGGAUCCGUGUGGUCCCUGGCAGGAAUGUCUUGCUUGGGGACCGAGUGAGCUCUUAGAGCCUUUCUGCUGCUUCCUCUACCCCUGUAUUUUACUCAGCUCUCUAAAUUGACUCAGUGCCAGGUCUGCUGCAGUUUGCUGGAGGUCCACUCCAGACUCUAUGUACCUGGAUAUCACCAGCGGAAGCUGCAGAAUAGCAAAGAUUGCUUCCUGGUCCUUCCUCUGGAAGCUUCAUCCCAGAGGGGCACUGGCCUGAUGUCAGCUGGAGCUCUCCUGUAUGAGGUAUCUGUCAACUCCUGUUGGGAGAUCUCUCCCCGUCAGGAAGCAUGUGGAUCAGGGAUUCACUUGAGAAGGCAGUCUGUCCCUUAGCAGAGCUCGAGUGCUGUGCUGGGAGAACUCUCUUUGUCAGGAUCUGCUGCUCUCUUCAGAACCAGCAGGCAGGAAUGUUUAAGUCCGCUGAGGCUGUGCCCACAGCCACCCCUUCC
rnacentral:lncRNA from 1 species